GACGAACGCUAGCGGCGUGCUUAAUACAUGCAAGUCGAACGCAGUGGGGACGGGUGAGUAACACGUGGCCAACCUCCCAUCAGAGGGGAUAACACUUGGAAACAGGUGCUAAACCGAUACUGAUGGAUGGACCUGGUGUGCAGUAGCUAGUUGGUGGGGUAACGGCUCACCAAGGCAACGAUGCAUAGCCGAGUUGAGAGGGCGAUCGGCCACACUGGGACUGAGACACGGCCCAGACUCCUACGGGAGGCAGCAGUGGGGAAUCUUCGACAAUGGGCGAAAGUCUGACCGAGCAACGCCGCGUGAAUGAUGAAGGUUUUCGGAUCGUAAAGCUCUGUUGUUAGAGAAGCGGUAUCUAACCAGAAAGCCACGGCUAACUACGUGCCAGCAGCCGCGGUAAUAC
rnacentral:rRNA from 1 species